AUUGAACGCUGGCGGCAGGCCUAACACAUGCAAGUCGGACGGUAGCACAGAGAGCUUGCUCUUGGGUGACGAGUGGCGGACGGGUGAGUAAUGUCUGGGGAUCUGCCCGAUAGAGGGGGAUAACCACUGGAAACGGUGGCUAAUACCGCAUAACGUCGCAAGACCAAAGAGGGGGACCUUCGGGCCUCUCACUAUCGGAUGAACCCAGAUGGGAUUAGCUAGUAGGCGGGGUAAUGGCCCACCUAGGCGACGAUCCCUAGCUGGUCUGAGAGGAUGACCAGCCACACUGGAACUGAGACACGGUCCAGACUCCUACGGGAGGCAGCAGUGGGGAAUAUUGCACAAUGGGCGCAAGCCUGAUGCAGCCAUGCCGCGUGUAUGAAGAAGGCCUUCGGGUUGUAAAGUACUUUCAGCGGGGAGGAAGGCCGUGCGGUUAAUAACCGUACCGAUUGACGUUACCCGCAGAAGAAGCACCGGCUAACUCCGUGCCAGCCGCCGCGGUAA
rnacentral:rRNA from 1 species